rnacentral:snoRNA from 1 species
GGGCUGUAAUUACAAAGAAAGAGGAUUGAGAGGAGUCCUCUCUCGUCGAAGUUUUGAGAGAAGAUUGAACGUUGAGAUGAAUUUAUUAAGAUUCGGGACGAAUCCAACAUUGACAUUUGAUGUCCCUUGUUUGUUGCAAAGGCUGGCUUAUGGCAUCUUAAGAAUUUUGCCGCAAAUCAAUUUCAUCUCUUUUGUAUUCUUCUCUUUCUUCGAUUUGGGCUUUCCCACUAUGACUACUUUUUUAAACUUACACUUGAUAUGAGCUCC